AUGCACGCUGGCGGCGUGCCUCAUACAUGCAAGUCGCGCGAACAGACGAGGAGCUUGCUCCUCUGACGUUAGCGGCGGACGGGUGAGUAACACGUGGAUAACCUACCUAUAAGACUGGGAUAACUUCGGGAAACCGGAGCUAAUACCGGAUAAUAUAUUGAACCGCAUGGUUCAAUAGUGAAAGACGGUUUUGCUGUCACUUAUAGAUGGAUCCGCGCCGCAUUAGCUAGUUGGUAAGGUAACGGCUUACCAAGGCAACGAUGCGUAGCCGACCUGAGAGGGUGAUCGGCCACACUGGAACUGAGACACGGUCCAGACUCCUACGGGAGGCAGCAGUAGGGAAUCUUCCGCAAUGGGCGAAAGCCUGACGGAGCAACGCCGCGUGAGUGAUGAAGGUCUUCGGAUCGUAAAACUCUGUUAUUAGGGAAGAACAAAUGUGUAAGUAACCAUGCACGUCUUGACGGUACCUAAUCAGAAAGCCACGGCUAACUACGUG
rnacentral:rRNA from 1 species